AAAAGCAGCGUUCUCGAGCGAGGUACAAAGUAAAGUACAUACUUGAGAAGUUGAAGACCCCAAGAGGCGUAGCUCAUGAUUUCCGAAGUUCAUCAAGACAUUGUGUUUUUUGUAGAUUGAAGCUUAUCCUCUUCCCUGACGACAUGAGGAUGUCGUAUCUCAGGCCUCCCUUGGCGUGAUCCUAUUGCCUGAAUUGCCUCUAAAGCCGCCAUCCGUCCAGCUAUGCUACCCGGCACAAACUACUUCAAGUCCAUUGACUGUCCCUUCUUUGCCAGCGGUCUUUGUGAACGCCCUUAUUGCCACUUUCUACAUAGAAGAAUCUCCUUCAAUUCUGAACCAGAGCCGGCUCUUCCUUUUGUCUCGCAGCCAGCUCCGCAUGUGGAUGCGAAGGGACAUCGUUUCUAUCCCCAACCUCAUGAUGCACCCGUCUACAAACCCACUCCAAAGGCUCUUCUUGCAACAGAAAAUAAACCUAAACCUUAUAUUCCAUCCAGUUUGGCCAAAGUCGCUGCUCUUCAGAAACCUCCGUCUUUACCAAGACCCACUCUCAAGCCUAGAGAAGUCUUGGGAGAUAUUGGAGAUUUGAGUAGUAGUGAUGAAGAAAGCAAAAAUCCAGAUUUGAUAGGCGCUAUACUAUUGCAAGGUGUUAAAUCCGGUGUCUUGGGCGGUGAAGUAUCGGAAUUCCAACAUGAACUUAUCAAAAAUACUUAUAAAAUCAAGAAAUCUAAACCCUUGAAGGAAGAACUUGAAGGAUCGAUAAAGAAAGAAAAAGACGCAGAAGUGGUUAUUGUAAUCUCUGACGAUGAAGACGCUAUUAAAGAAGCUCAGCGAAAGAAAGCGGUAGAAGAAGAGGAUCGAAAGAAAAGGAUUCUUGAAGAUGAAAGAUUGGAAGCCAAAAGGCUCCUUGAGGAAAAAGAAAAAGAACUCGAGGAAUUAGAAAAGAAGAGACAAAUUUUGGAAAAUUUUUAUGGAAAAAAUGAUUCGAAAAAGAGAGAUCCUUCAUUAGAAAACGAAUCUCGAUACGAUAGAAAAAAAAAUAAACAUAAAAGUCGUAAAAGGAAACGUAGUAAGAAGAAAUAUUCUCGGAAAAAGUCAAAGAGGAGACGUACUUCUUCAACGUCUUCCUCUUCAUCCUCCUCAUUUUCGGAUUCGUCCUCACAAUCUUCGUCGUCAUUCUCCAGUUCAGAAGAGAGUGAUUUGGAAAGAGAGUAUAGAAGACUUCAUAGGAAGCGAAGCAAGCAUAAAAAGUCAAAAAAACAUUACAGAGAUAAAAAAAUAUCUCGCAAACGAGAGGAAUUGGUUAAAUUAAAGCCAGACCAUAAAAAUCUAGAAAUGACAAUUAAGAAAGAAGGAUUAGAUGAUACAAACAAACUUAAUAAAAUUUCGUCCUCGGUAAUCAAGAAAGAAAAAGGUUUAGACCCUAGUAUCAUAAUAAAAAAUGAACCAGCUGAAGAAGUUAAUAAACCUUUACUAGAGCCUCCUAAUAAAGAGAUAAUUCCAUCUCCCUCUCAAAUUAAGGAUGAAGAUCUUCCUGAGUCUGUCAAAUCUUUCUUAGAUGCAAUGGAAGAAAUUGACCAAAAGAUAGUAAAAGAUGAAAAGUCUAAGCGUUCACCGACUUGUAGCUCUGAGCACAAAGACCAUAAGUCAUCUAGAAGUCAUGGUUCUCGGAAACACUCGCACUCCUCCUCGACUCAUAAAAGUAGUAAUAGCGGUAAGUCAUCUAAAAAAUCUUCUCAUCAUGAUCGCCGAAGUUCCAAGUCAGAUGAAAAAUCUUCUCAUCAUGAUCGUCGAAGUUCCAAGUCAGAUGAAAAAUCUUCUCAUUAUGAUCGUCGAAGUUCCAAGUCAGAUGAAAAAUCUUCUCAUUAUGAUCGUCGAAGUUCCAAGUCAGAUGAAAAGAAACAAUCAAAAUCCUCUUCUGCACCAUCUUCCAGUUCCUCAAGAUCUUCAAAGAGUAAGUCAACACCACAUGAAAUAAAAACAUCCGCAGUUUUGCAAGAAAGUAUUGAAGAGCCUACUCCUGGACCAAGUUCAAAGUCUGAUUUUUCUAGAAUUGAAGAAAAUAGUUCUGAUAGGGAUGAGCCUAGACAAGAUUAUUUUGAAAAUUCUGGUUCAGAGGAUGUUUUUGAAAAUGAAGAUGAUGAAUUGAAGAGGAUUUUCGAAGAGCAUGAAGAGCAAGUAAGGAAAUCUGCAUCCUCAUCCUCAAAUAAAAAAAUUAAAAGCGCAAAGGAUACUGCCCAUUCUCAGAAUAAAAAUGUUGAAACUCUAAAUCCUAAGAGUAAGAAACGAGUUGCACAUAAGGCAGAGACUGAUAGUUCCCUCUCUAGACCUCCAAUAGUCAGGAAACCCAUUUCUGCCACACAACAAAUGCUUGAGCGCUACAAAAAGAUACAAAAUAUGAGAGAAAACUCUGAAAUUGAAAAUCGUUUGGCAUCCUUGGUGGGAGAGGAUGAGCCUCCAAAAUCUAAAAUGAAAUCUUCUACUGCCCAAAGUAAAUCAGUUAAUAAAAGCCGAACGGUUGUGACUACUACAAAAGGUACGGCACGGGUAUCUCACGUACCUACGGUGAACAUUAGUAAACCUUUAAUUGCUCCUGAUAUGAAAUCAAAAAUUCCUUCUAGUAUACGUCAGCGUUAUCUUGAUAGUAUUGUUGAGGAGUGCUGUAAAAUUUAUAAUGGAGACAAAGGGAAUGCAUAUGCUCGUGCCACUAGAGAAGAGCAAGUUUGUUGUGGUAGGAGUAAAAAUAGAAACAUUUAUUUAAAUGUAGUUGUGAAUUGUAUUAAAAAGCUACGAACUGAGGCAUCUCAAGCCCCAAAAUCUAAGCAAACUUUAGUAAUACCCCAGGGAUCCAUGGUUACAUCCCAUUUGCAGAUUUUGGCCGGAAAGGGAGGUUCAAAAGGUUCUUGGAGCAUUGAAAAACCCAAGUCUACUAUUGAUGAAAAUAGCCCUGGCUUAACUUAUGCAAUUCUCAAGCGUUAUGUUCUAUCCAAGGAAGACAUGAUAGAGAAUGGAUAUCCGGUUAUGAAUUCUGAAAUCAAAGGGAAAGCUUAUAUAACCCAAAAUCCACAGUACUCAAAUCGAAAGCCUCAGCCUCAAGAACCGGAUAAACGUAGAUGUGAUAGGUGCUCCACUAUUUACAAAGUUGACCUUCAAGAUGGUUCAUUCGAUGGUCGUCGAUACUAGUAUUGUUUUUCCACACAAAAUGGGCCCUCCUUAUAAAAGGGCCUUGAAACAUCUUGCAGCAGAACAUCUUAAACGAAUUAUUCAGAAUGACGUUGGGGGUCAUGACUCUGCCGAAGACGCAUUGGCAGCCUUGGAUUUAAUGAAAGUCAAAGUCAAAUCAGAUGUGAAAAAAUUACAACAGGACUCCU
rnacentral:misc_RNA from 1 species